rnacentral:rRNA from 1 species
GCAUGUUUUUGACAUUUGAAAAAUGGACUGCUCAGUAAUACUCACUUUAUUUUAUGUAAAUUUUUGAUUAAUUAACUACGUUAAAGUGUAGAUAAGAUGUUUACAGUAAGAGUGAGACCUAUCAGCUAGUUGUUAAGGUAAUGGCUUAACAAGGCUGUGACGGGUAACGGUAUUACUUUGUAAUAUUCCGGAGAAGGAGCCUGAGAGACGGCUACUAAGUCUAAGGAUUGCAGCAGGGGCGAAACUUGACCUAUGGAUUUUAUCUGAGGCAGUUAUGGGAAGUAAUAUUAUAUUGUUUCAUAUUUUAAAAGUAUAUGAGGUGAUUAAUUGGAGGGCAAAUCAAGUGCCAGCAGCCGCGGUAAUACUUGUUCCAAGAGUGUGUAUGAUGAUUGAUACAGUUAAAAAGUCCGUAGUUUAUUUUUUUAAGAAGCAAUAUGAGGUGUACUGUAUAGUUGGGAGAAAGAUGAAAUGUGACGACCCUGACUGGACGAACAGAAGCGAAAGCUGUACACUUGUAUGUAUUUUUUGAACAAGGACGUAAGCUGGAGGAGCGAAGAUGAUUAGAUACCAUUGUAGUUCCAGCAGUAAACUAUGCCGACGAUGUGAUAUGAAAAUGUUAAUUUGUAUUACAUAAUAGAAAUUUGAGUUUUUUGGCUCUGGGGAUAGUAUGAUCGCAAGAUUGAAAAUUAAAGAAAUUGACGGAAGAAUACCACAAGGAGUGGAUUGUGCGGCUUAAUUUGACUCAACGC